rnacentral:lncRNA from 1 species
UCCGCCGCCGCCAGGUUUAUCUUAAGAUCUCCAGAGAAGACGUACAAAGCACUUUAGAGAUGGAAGACGGACACACAGCAGCCGUCUGUGGAGAUGUGUGAGAGUGUGUGAGUGAGUGUGUGUGUGUCUGCUGUCUGUGAGAGUGUGUGUGUGGAGAUGACAUGGAGACUUGCUGAGAAUUGCUCCUGAAUAAGCUGGCCGACCUCGGAGUGCUGUGUGAGUAGUGUGGUGGGGUGGCCUUGUCAGUGAAAGGUGCCAAGUUGGAGGCGGGGAACCACCAGGGACACUUCUGUUUUAGAGACGUGUGGACAAAGACAUUCUCAAGAUGGACUCCAUAUCUGUUGUUUGAGUGACACCGAAGUAAUUAUAUUUGAUAAAAUAUGGUCACUAUGCUCCGAUCAACUGCU